rnacentral:rRNA from 1 species
ACUACGGGCGGCAGCAGUGGGGAAUAUUGCACAAUGGGGGAAACCCUGAUGCAGCGACGCCGCGUGAGUGAAGAAGUAUUUCGGUAUGUAAAGCUCUAUCAGCAGGGAAGAAAAUGACGGUACCUGACUAAGAAGCCCCGGCUAACUACGUGCCAGCAGCCGCGGUAAUACGUAGGGGGCAAGCGUUAUCCGGAUUUACUGGGUGGAAAGGGAGCGUAGACGGCCAGACAAGUCAGAAGUGAAAGCCCAGGGCUCAACUCUGGGACUGCUUUUGAAACUGCCGGGCUGGAGUGCAGGAGAGGUAAGCGGAAUUCCUGGUGUAGCGGUGAAAUGCGUAGAUAUUAGGAGGAACACCAGUGGCGAAGGCGGCUUACUGGACUGUAACUGACGUUGAGGCUCGAAAGCGUGGGGAGCAAACAGGAUUAGAUACCCGAGUAGUC